AGUCGUUGCUAGGCAAUCACCACGAGUCUUUUUAACCCGCGAUAGAUUUUUGUUCUCUUCCAGGAAACAUCCUGGUCACAAAAUGAAGUGUUUUUUCUUCUUUGUGAUUGUGGCCCUACAACCGAUCUACACACUGCCAGUGAACUCAUCAAUAGGCAGAUUUAAGGAAAUGUAUCAUGCAGACAUCUUUGAAAUCAACAAGGACUUGGAUCUCUUUGAAGGGGACAUAAAGCUAUCACAUGAUUCUGAGAGAGUUGCUGCCUCGGACUCAUCAAUGCGGUGGUCUAUACCAAUACCUGUUUUGUUAGACUCCUCCCUCGAUCUAACUGGCAAAUCGACCGUUACAAAGGCUAUCGAACAGUACCGCCUGAAGACCUGUAUAGACUUCAAAAUGAGGGAUACAGAACCACACUAUCUCUUAUUUAAAAAAGAUGACGGAUGUUGGUCAUAUGUUGGCUUUACACAGACGGGUGAACAACCUGUGUCAAUCGGCGAUUACUGCCAGGAAGUAGCCACCGUUGAGCAUGAGCUUCUUCACGCGCUGGGCUUCUGGCAUGAGCAUACAAGGCCGGACAGAGAUGAGCAUGUUACUAUUCAGUGGGGUUACAUUGAUCCAGCUAAAUCACACAAUUUUGAUAAGCGGGCCGUUGCCGAGAGCACACUACAGGGCUCAAAAUAUGACUACAAAUCAGUGAUGCAUUAUUCCAAAACUUCAUUCAGUAAUGGCAAUGGGGAUACCAUCGUUACUAAAGACCCAAACUACCAAGAAAUCAUUGGACAAAGACACGAGAUGAGCCCAACGGACGUCUGGGAAGUAAACUCACUCUACGGUUGCACGUCUUCUGUGACAUUCUUGGAUGGCUGCACCUUUGAGAAGAACAUGCAGUGUGAGCUGACGGCUUGCUCCAACACAGACGAGACAAUGUGGACAAGACUAAGCAGCGCUGUCUAUGGGCCUUGGCAAGACCACAGUGACUUUCAAAGCCAUGGAGGUGUAGGACACUUUGUACAUUUUAGCACAGCCAUGGGGAUGGCAGGAGAUGGGGGAAUAAUAAAGACCAGAAGGAUGACGCCUCACAGGGACUUCCAGUGUCUGGAGUUCUUCUACUAUUACAACGGGGCUGACUCAGACCAGCUCAACAUAUGGCUCAGGGAGUUUGAAAGUGGGUCGGACACUAUUGGAGCCUCUACACUUGUCGGGCAGAUCACAGGUGACCCAGCUAACUACUGGCAGCUUCAACACUUGCAGCUCCGCUCAACCAAGAUAUUCCAGAUUGAGUUUGAGGCAGUGAAAGGACUAGGGGAAUCCAUGGGUGGUUUUUCCUUGGAUGACAUUAAUCUAUCUGAAACUGUGUGUCCACACCACGUGUGGCGCAUCAGCAACUUCAGAGAAGCUUUUCAACGUAGCCCCAAGUUCUACUCUGCUGAGGGAUACCGCUAUCGUGUGUAUAUGACAUAUGCAGACGAGUAUGUAGGACUCUACGUUGGCCUUGUUUCGGGGCAGUAUGAUGAUAGUCUGCAGUGGCCUGCCCCAGAGAAGCAGAUCACAGUUCAGAUCAUGGAACAGACAUCCUCUAUUCUGCAUCGCAUGUCCAAGCAAGUUACUUUUGCCCUUUAUUCGACAAUAAAUGGACAGCCGGUUACCAAUUGGGAUAAUCCAACAACAGUAGGAUCACUGUAUAAUGACAUCGAUGGACAGGUGUAUGAAGGGCCCCCCUUUGGUCGUCACGACUUCAUGAGCUUAGACCACCUUGAGGCAGGGAGUUUUGCUCAAGGAAGCGAGUGCUUUCUCCUGACUAGUUUCGAAGAUGUGGUCAAUCAGCUCAGCCCGUUGAUUCCCACAGCAAUGGCGGAGUCAAGUGUUAAUAAUAUGUUUAACAUCAUCAGCCCAUGUGUGGAACACAAGUUGUGAGUCUCUGUCAAGGUGGUUUUAUGUAACUUUGCCAAUACACCUGUAAAACAUUUCAAGUUGCCGACCAAAUAAAGCAGCAGUUUGUGCACCAUCAGAGUUCAUUGUUCUCCUUGUGGCCGUUAAUGUGAUGCUGACAGUACAAUGGGAUUAAAUCCAGGAUGAUUCAUCUCAAUUAACCUGUAUGAAUAAAACCUGGAAUAACCUACCCAGUCACAUUCAAAA